rnacentral:misc_RNA from 1 species
GAGACAAGCAUAUGACUACUGGCAGGAUCAACCAGGUAGCAUUCCUUCGCGACGCCGACGCCCGCAUGAGACCCGGCAGGCCGUAAGGCCGCGGGCUCAAGACGGGCACGGCAGUCGUUCGUGUCGAUGGACAAAUGCGUUGCUUGGGCAAACGGAGCUAWKAAAUAGACCCCGCACCCGCACAUAACAUUCUGCAUCCGARAGCACGGGCARUGCACCYCAUGGGCCGAGGCAGCGACGCAGCUGGGCGAAGCGUGCCGGGAACACGAGGCUUGCCUGAUGUCCACCCCAAAACCCGUGAGGGCAGGGGGCGGAAAKGGACUAACGAAACCAUCGGAUUCCUUUCGAUAGGUAAGCAACACAGGAUACCGAA